rnacentral:rRNA from 1 species
UCUAGCAUGAAGUCAGACAAGCGA